rnacentral:rRNA from 1 species
UACGUAGGGGGCUAGCGUUGUCCGGAAUCAUUGGGCGUAAAGCGCGUGUAGGCGGUCCGGUAAGUCCGCUGUGAAAGUCGGGGGCUCAACCCUGGAAAGCCGGUGGAUACUGUCGGGCUAGAGUCCGGAAGAGGCGAGUGGAAUUCCUGGUGUAGCGGUGGAAUGCGCAGAUAUCAGGAGGAACACCGAUAGCGAAGGCAGCUCGCUGGGACGGUACUGACGCUGAGGUGCGAAAGCGUGGGGAGCGAACAGG